CCCUUAGAGUUUGAUCCUGGCUCAGGAUGAACGCUGGCGGCGUGCCUAACACAUGCAAGUCGAGCGAUCUUCUUCGGAAGAGAGCGGCGGACGGGUGAGUAACGCGUGGGUAACCUGCCUCAUACACAUGGAUAACAUACCGAAAGGUAUGCUAAUACAAGAUGACAUAAGAGAUUCGCAUGGAUUUCUUAUCAAAGCUUUUGCGGUAUGAGAUGGACCCGCGUCUGAUUAGCUAGUUGGUAAGGUAAUGGCUUACCAAGGCGACGAUCAGUAGCCGACCUGAGAGGGUGAUCGGCCACAUUGGAACUGAGACACGGUCCAAACUCCUACGGGAGGCAGCAGUGGGGAAUAUUGCACAAUGGGCGAAAGCCUGAUGCAGCAACGCCGCGUGAGCGAUGAAGGCCUUCGGGUCGUAAAGCUCUGUCCUCAAGGAAGAUAAUGACGGUACUUGAGGAGGAAGCCCCGGCUAACUACGUGCCAGCAGCCGCGGUAAUACGUAGGGGGCUAGCGUUAUCCGGAUUUACUGGGCGUAAAGGGUGCGUAGGUGGUUUCUUAAGUCAGGAGUGAAAGGCUACGGCUCAACCGUAGUAAGCUCUUGAAACUGGGGAACUUGAGUGCAGGAGAGGAAAGUGGAAUUCCUAGUGUAGCGGUGAAAUGCGUAGAUAUUAGGAGGAACACCAGUAGCGAAGGCGGCUUUCUGGACUGUAACUGACACUGAGGCACGAAAGCGUGGGGAGCAAACAGGAUUAGAUACCCUGGUAGUCCACGCCGUAAACGAUGAGUACUAGGUGUCGGGGGUUACCCCCCUCGGUGCCGCAGCUAACGCAUUAAGUACUCCGCCUGGGGAGUACGCUCGCAAGAGUGAAACUCAAAGGAAUUGACGGAAGGGCGAAUUCCAG
rnacentral:rRNA from 1 species